CACUAUACAUUUCGGGACAUAUUAAAAGAAUGGCAUUAGUUACGUUUUUUUGCAUUAUCGGUUACUAUUGCUAAUAUUUUGUUACUAAUAUCCCAUUUGCCAAAAGUAUUUAUAAGUUGUUCUAAUAAAUUUUCUGCAGUAUAACGCUUAUCCAUUUCAUGUGUAGUCAAUGUAAAUGAUUUAACACACCACUUAGAAUCAAUUACGUAAUAAGCCACUGUAAUAUAAGAUUCCUGUGAAAUCGAGGUUCAACAGUCGGUUGUGCAACAUAUACUAGAAGCAUCUUGCAAGUCGUUUUUAAUAUAAGUUCUUCAAUAUUUGAAGAUAAUAUUUUUAAUCGCUUCUUCUUUGCAUUG